rnacentral:rRNA from 1 species
GAUGAACGCUGGCGGCGUGCUUAACACAUGCAAGUCGAACGGAAAGGCCCAAGCUUGCUUGGGUACUCGAGUGGCGAACGGGUGAGUAACACGUGGGUGAUCUGCCCUGCACUUCGGGAUAAGCCGGGGAAACUGGGUCUAAUACUGGAUAGGACCACUUCUUGGAUGGUGUGGUGGAAAGUUUUUUCGGUGUGGGAUGAGCUCGCGGCCUAUCAGCUUGUUGGUGGGGUAAUGGCCUACCAAGGCGUCGACGGGUAGCCGGCCUGAGAGGGUGUACGGCCACAUUGGGACUGAGAUACGGCCCAGACUCCUACGGGAGGCAGCAGUGGGGAAUAUUGCACAAUGGGCGCAAGCCUGAUGCAGCGACGCCGCGUGGGGGAUGACGGCCUUCGGGUUGUAAACUCCUUUCGCUAGGGACGAAGCGUUUUUGUGACGGUACCUGGAGAAGAAGCACCGGCUAACUACGUG